AUGAUGAUAACUCCCUGACCUGAAAGGUGAUGAGGACCGGUUCACUGA
rnacentral:snoRNA from 1 species